UGCGGUAUGAAAUAGGGACAAUGCCGGCACGAUACUCGGCGAUCUUGAGGAAAACUGGCAUGGCCAGGUCGAAGUGAGCGCGUGGUGGAUUGCACCAGCCACCAUUGUCGCUAGGCUGAGCUAGGUUCGGAGGACAAAAGUUGGUUGCGGUUACGAAGACAGAAGGACUGCCUGAAUGACACCAUUUAGGAUCAUUGACACAUUUGAUUUCAAAGCAUGCGCCACAGGUUAAGCCACUGCUGAACAGCGCCGUGCUCAGGGCCGCCGUGUUAGUGCCGUAUCCUUGGCUAUACAAAUUCCCGUAACCGCAUGCACCACCUACAAGAGAUUAGAGAAAAAAUAAUAAUUAUAAGAAAAAACAGAGUGCUCUGCUUUUGGAGAGUUGGUUAUAAUGAAUGAUUGAUGAAGUGUGGUUUUUGAUAUGAAUAUUUGAAGAUAAUGGACUGACCCAUGGUUCCUGAAGCGUCGUCGCCACCGUAGAAAGUGGCGUGAGCGGUUUGCCAAGAGCCGCCGGAGUAGACGCCGGGGAUCGCAGCGUUGGUAAGGCUCAAGAGGAGAAAGAGAGGGAACAUGGUUAAGAGAAUGGAUGGAUUAACUGCCAUUUUUGUUGAUGUAUGUGAGUGAUUUUUGGAGGAGCUGGAAGAAGAAGAAGACUGUAGAGUGUAGACUAAAAGGCUGAGAGACUUGAUGAUGGUGGAAACAUCACUUGUGAAGAUCGCUAUUUAUAUAGGCGGAGAGAAACUCCAAAGUUAGAGAAGGAGCUAUUAUUGGCCGAUAUUAGUAUUUUCUUUUUUGAAACACAUUUGCUUUUUUGAAACACAUAUUAGUAUUUUCUAGACAUGAAUAUUUAGAGGGUAGAUUACAACGUGUGGUGAAAGACAUGUUUGUAAUCUUAUUUUGAUUGCAAUAAUAUGGGAUCAUGGAGUCUUUUAUUAUCCUCUUAAUUUAGGGAUCUAUAACUAAUAUAAUGUGAGAGAAACUCCAAAUUCGCGUGGUGGAUUGCACCAGCCACCAUUGUCGCUAGGCUGAGCUAGGUUCGGAGGACAAAAGUUGGUUGCGGUUACGAAGACAGAAGGACUGCCUGAAUGACACCAUUUAGGAUCAUUGACACAUUUGAUUUCAAAGCAUGCGCCACAGGUUAAGCCACUGCUGAACAGCGCCGUGCUCAGGGCCGCCG
rnacentral:lncRNA from 1 species